AUUUCACUAUGUGUCUAACACAGUUACAAACAUCUUUUUUUCCAUUAACUGAUUUUAUCCUCAGAACAGCUUUGUGACAUGGGAGCUCUCAUUAUCCUCAUUUUCAUGAAGAGGAAAAUGAAGCACAGAGAGGUCACCACAGAGCAUUGAGUAGAGUUCCCUGUGAUAUACAAGAUACAGGCAACAACAUGAACUGGGAAUUAGAAAGACAUUAUGAAGAUGGAGAAAGCACACACAACAAUGAAGACCCAACACAGCC